rnacentral:rRNA from 1 species
UUUCCUACGGGGGGCUGCAGUGGGGAAUAUUGCACAAUGGGCGCAAGCCUGAUGCAGCGACGCCGCGUGGGGGAUGACGGCCUUCGGGUUGUAAACCUCUUUCACCAUCGACGAAGGUCCGGGUUUUCUCGGAUUGACGGUAGGUGGAGAAGAAGCACCGGCCAACUACGUGCCAGCAGCCGCGGUAAUACGUAGGGUGCGAGCGUUGUCCGGAAUUACUGGGCGUAAAGAGCUCGUAGGUGGUUUGUCGCGGUGUUCGUGAAAUCUCACGGCUUAACUGUGAGCGUGCGGGCGAUACGGGCAGACUGGAGUACUGCAGGGGAGACUGGAAUUCCUGGUGUAGCGGUGGAAUGCGCAGAUAUCAGGAGGAACACCGGUGGCGAAGGCGGGUCUCUGGGCAGUAACUGACGCUGAGGAGCGAAAGCGUGGGGAGCGAACAGGAUUAGAUACCCUUGUAGUC